rnacentral:misc_RNA from 1 species
GAUGAAGAACGUAGCGAAAUGCGAUAAGUAAUGUGAAUUGCAGAAUUCAGUGAAUCAUCGAAUCUUUGAACGCACAUUGCGCCCUCUGGUAUUCCGGAGGGCAUGCCUGUUCGAGCGUCAUUACAACCCUCAGGCCCCCGGGCCUGGCGUUGGGGAUCGGCGGAGCCCCCCGUGGGCACACGCCGUCCCCCAAAUGCAGUGGCGGUCCCGCCGCAGCUUCCAUCGCGUAGUAGCUAACACCUCGCGACUGGAGAGCGGCGCGGCCACGCCGUAAAACACCCAACUCUUCUGAAGUUGACCUCGAAUCAGGUAGGAAUACCCGCUGAACUUAAGCAUAUCAAUAAGCGGAGGA